CAGGACGAACGCUGGCGGUGUGCCUCAUACAUGCAAGUCGAACGAUAAGGUUUCUUCGGAAAUACAUAAGUGGCGGACGGGUGAGUACAACAUAGGAAAUCUGCCCUAAACCGGGGGACAACAGAGGGAAACUUCUGCUAAUACCCCAUACGAGCUUAGUUGAAAUACUAAUCUUGAAAGCUCCGGCGGUUUAGGAUGAGCCUGUGCCUGAUUAGCUGGUUGGUGGUGUAAUGGACUACCAAGGCGACGAUCAGUAGCUGGUUUGAGAGGAUGAUCAGCCACAAUGGGACUGAGACACGGCCCAUACUCCUACGGGAGGCAGCAGUAGGGAAUUUUGCGCAAUGGGCGAAAGCCUGAACCGCAGCAACACCGCGUGAAUGUUAAGCCCUUCGGGGUGUAAAGUUCUGUCAGUAGGGAAGAACAAAUGACUGUACCUACAAAGGAAGCACCGGCUAACUCCGUGCCAGCAGCCGC
rnacentral:rRNA from 1 species